GACGAACGCUGGCGGCGUGCCUAAUACAUGCAAGUCGAACGAACUCUGGUAUUGAUUGGUGCUUGCAUCAUGAUUUACAUUUGAGUGAGUGGCGAACUGGUGAGUAACACGUGGGAAACCUGCCCAGAAGCGGGGGAUAACACCUGGAAACAGAUGCUAAUACCGCAUAACAACUUGGACCGCAUGGUCCGAGUUUGAAAGAUGGCUUCGGCUAUCACUUUUGGAUGGUGCCCGCGGCGUAUUAGCUAGAUGGUGAGGUAACGGCUCACCAUGGCAAUGAUACGUAGCCGACCUGAGAGGGUAAUCGGCCACAUUGGGACUGAGACACGGCCCAAACUCCUACGGGAGGCAGCAGUAGGGAAUCUUCCACAAUGGACGAAAGUCUGAUGGAGCAACGCCGCGUGAGUGAAGAAGGGUUUCGGCUCGUAAAACUCUGUUGUUAAAGAAGAACAUAUCUGAGAGUAACUGUUCAGGUAUUAGACGGUAUUUAACCAGAAAGCCACGGCUAACUACGUGCCAGCAGCCGCGGUAAUACGUAGGUGGCAAGCGUUGUCCGGAUUUAUUGGGCGUAAAGCGAGCGCAGGCGGUUUUUUAAGUCUGAUGUGAAAGCCUUCGGCUCAACCGAAGAAGUGCAUCGGAAACUGGGAAACUUGAGUGCAGAAGAGGACAGUGGAACUCCAUGUGUAGCGGUGAAAUGCGUAGAUAUAUGGAAGAACACCAGUGGCGAAGGCGGCUGUCUGGUCUGUAACUGACGCUGAGGCUCGAAAGUAUGGGUAGCAAACAGGAUUAGAUACCCUGGUAGUCCAUACCGUAAACGAUGAAUGCUAAGUGUUGGAGGGUUUCCGCCCUUCAGUGCUGCAGCUAACGCAUUAAGCAUUCCGCCUGGGGAGUACGGCCGCAAGGCUGAAACUCAAAGGAAUUGACGGGGGCCCGCACAAGCGGUGGAGCAUGUGGUUUAAUUCGAAGCUACGCGAAGAACCUUACCAGGUCUUGACAUACUAUGCAAAUCUAAGAGAUUAGACGUUCCCUUCGGGGACAUGGAUACAGGUGGUGCAUGGUUGUCGUCAGCUCGUGUCGUGAGAUGUUGGGUUAAGUCCCGCAACGAGCGCAACCCUUAUUAUCAGUUGCCAGCAUUAAGUUGGGCACUCUGGUGAGACUGCCGGUGACAAACCGGAGGAAGGUGGGGAUGACGUCAAAUCAUCAUGCCCCUUAUGACCUGGGCUACACACGUGCUACAAUGGAUGGUACAACGAGUUGCGAACUCGCGAGAGUAAGCUAAUCUCUUAAAGCCAUUCUCAGUUCGGAUUGUAGGCUGCAACUCGCCUACAUGAAGUCGGAAUCGCUAGUAAUCGCGGAUCAGCAUGCCGCGGUGAAUACGUUCCCGGGCCUUGUACACACCGCCCGUCACACCAUGAGAGUUUGUAACACCCAAAGUCGGUGGGGUAACCUUUUAGGAACCAGCCGCCUAAGGUGGGACAGAUGAUUAGGGUG
rnacentral:rRNA from 2 species